AGAGAGAGAGAGACUUGGCCAAGAACGUGAAUUUGUUGUUUAAUCAUGCGCUGUAAGAAUGUGAGUGUGAGGAUGCGUGUCCCGCUGUCUGCUGCUGUGACUCUAGGGCUGCUGCUCUUCCUGUCUGUGGGACUGAACUAUCAGGUGGCCGAAGGCUGCAUAUGUGCUCAAAUCUGAGCUAAGAUCACUGGAGUGGUGAAAAGCACUGAGAGUGAAAGUACAUAUGGUAUCGAAAUUAUCAAGAUUUUUAAACAAGUCAACCAAAAGGCAGUUCAGUUCAUCCACUCAUAUCACAAUUCAUGUCACAUCAAUCUGGAAAAUGAGGAGUAUCUGCUGGGAGAUAUAUCACACAUUUGAUAUUUUGAUUUGAUUUUAAAGCACUUUUUUUCACAUAUCAUGCAUCUCCUAGCAACAAGGUUUCUUUGUGAGUUUGUUGUGUUUGGAAAUAGUAGAGUCUGUUAGUUUGUAAACCUCAGUUGUGUAUUAUAACAGUUUUUCUCUGUAACAUUUACGAGGUCAGCAUAGUGAACAUGUUCAGAAGUCGUAGAGUAUUCCAGUUAGAUCAAUUAAGCCGCAUGUUUCUUUUAAUACCUCAAAAACACAUUUAGAACUUGAUAACACUGCAUUAGCAAACACUAAAUGUCCUCAAAGAAAAGAUUAAUAUGACCCAGGACCUUAAACCUAAAAACACUAAAGAAUCUCAAUAGGACAUGAGGGUUCAAUAAGUGAUGAUAUCUCUAGGUACAAAAAAGUUGUAUAUAUUGUAAAAUGAGCUUUAGAUGUAAAAUAAUAGAGAUACAUAAGAAAAAUGUUAUGUUUGUUUUUCCCAUCUAAGGAUAUGUCAAGGAUGGAGUGAUUAAUGUCAAUUUAUGUAGCCUUGUGCGGCGUUGGGACAGUCUGUCCUCAGUUCCUGUAUCAGAAUGGCUGUAAUAAUCUAAAUAAUUUUCUUACAAUACUAAUUCACUAUAGUCUGAAUUAUACAGAGUUCAGCGAUUUUAAAAUCCAAAUUAUCUGUCCUUUUGGAUGUUGUCAAACACAUACUCUGUCUGCAUUGUUACAAAUCCUGGGUUCAGAUCUUGUGCGCUUGUCAAAACUUUUAUAAAGAUUUCAUUGUUUAAAGCAUAAAAUAAUUUAAAAAGGACAGUCCAGGAUCUAGCCCUGUACUGGAGCAUCCUGUUUGAUCAAAAUGCCCUGAAGACCAAGUGCAUCAACCAUUCGUCAGUGUGAGAGUUUGCCCUUUUGUUUUUCAGAAUGCUUAGAACACUUAGAACAUUAGUUAAAUUAAUUCAAACAUUUUACUAAAGCUUUGCAAUGCAGUCAGCAUACAAAACACUGUUAUCAUGGAGAUAUGCAAUUAACCAUUAAACUGUUUUGAAAGUAAAAGCAUCUAUGUGUAUUUAAUGGGAAAUGUAAGCAUGUUUAUACUGUAUAAAUUUGGAUGUUCUUCUUGGGAAUGCUUUAUAUCAAAUGCAGUCAUCUGGUAUUGUUUUUCGCUUUUAUCUUCUAAUGAACAUUGGGUUAAAAAAGGAAGUAAAAAAAAAAAAAAAAAAAAAAAAAAA